CUCGGUGCUUUUCAGGUUCCCUCAUCCACUGCUGGUGAGGAUGUGAGCUUGUGCAUCCCGCGAGUCCUCAAAGAUCUAAAGAUAGAACAGCUGCCUGGCGCAGCCACAUCGCUCCUGAGCGCAGGCCCGGGGGAACAAUGGGCAGCACACGGCCGUGGUGCCCGCACAGCUUUGAUCAUUGUGGCACCAUUCACAGGCGCCCAGGUGUGGAGCCAGCCUAGGUGUUCACCAGCAGAUGAGUGGAAGAGGGAAUGUGGUUUAUACGCAGGGGAGUUUUAUUUAGCCUCGUGGAUGGAAGUUUCGGAAAAACCCGUCUGCACAGCCUCAAUGAACAAGGAAACGAUAUCACACAGGCUACCUAGGCAUCUCUAUGGGGAAGGCAGAACCCUGAGGAGGAGAGCAUGGCUGUGGCAGGGCCCCUACGUGUCACUUCCCAUCAGAGCUGGCCAUUGUGACAGUGGGCAUGGGGUCUUGUGGUUGAAUGGCUCAACUCUACCUGGAGGGUGAGCUGCUUCUUGUGGAUAAAGUGUAGAGCAGCUUUGCGUUCAGAAGAUGCCAUUAACCUUCUAGUUUUCCUUCACUGGGUGGUGGGGCUAACGCAGGGGAAUUUGAGCUAUGUAUGCCAGACUAGUCUCAAACUCAUGAUCUUCCUGCCUCUGCCUUCCAAGUGCCAAGAUUAUAAGCAUGACUCCAUGCUA